AACGAACGCUGGCGGCGUGGAUAAGACAUGCAAGUCGGACGAGACUUUUCGUUGUAGCAAUACGAUGGAAAGUCUAGUGGCGAACGGGUGCUUAACACGUGGGCAACAUGCCAGGAAGUGGGGGACAGCUCGCCGAAAGGCGGAUUAAUACCGCAUGUGAUUAGAGAGGACAUCCUUUCGAAAUUAAAGUCGGGGCAACCUGACGCUUCUUGUGGGGCCCGCGGCCUAUCAGCUAGUUGGUGAGGUAACGGCUCACCAAGGCUUUGACGGGUAGCUGGUCUGAGAGGACGACCAGCCACACUAGGACUGAGACACGGCCCAGACACCUACGGGUGGCAGCAGUCGAGAAUUUUUGACAAUGGGGGAAACCCUGAUCGAGCGACGCCGCGUGGAGGAUGAAGGUCUUCGGAUUGUAAACUCCUGUCAUUGGGGAACAAUGCGCAAAUAGUAACUGUAUUUGUGUUGAUAGUACCCGAAGAGGAAGAGACGGCUAACUCUGUGCCAGCAGCCGCCGUAAUAC
rnacentral:rRNA from 1 species